rnacentral:lncRNA from 1 species
CCCCUGCCGACAUCUUGACUGAAACUUCAAAAUCAUCCAGCUAAGCUGCUUCCAAAUUCCCAGCUGGGAGACGAUAAAUGUUUCAAGCUGCUAAGUUUCAGGGUAAUUUGUUACACAGCAAUAGGUAACAAAUGCAUUCCCUCUAUCCCCCUGCUUUUCCAACUUUAAUCCAUUCCUCCUUCCUUCAUACUCACCAUACACCACAUAAUGGGGGAACAGGGAUGAGUGACUUGGCUAACAUCAUGGGGCCAGUGUGGGCAGACCCAGAGCCUU